UGGGGAAUAUUGGACAAUGGGCGCAAGCCUGAUCCAGCCAUGCCGCGUGAGUGAUGAAGGCCCUAGGGUUGUAAAGCUCUUUCACCGGUGAAGAUAAUGACGGUAACCGGAGAAGAAGCCCCGGCUAACUUCGUGCCAGCAGCCGCGGUAAUACGAAGGGGGCUAGCGUUGUUCGGAUUUACUGGGCGUAAAGCGCACGUAGGCGGACUAUUAAGUCAGGGGUGAAAUCCCGGGGCUCAACCCCGGAACUGCCUUUGAUACUGGUAGUCUUGAGUUCGAGAGAGGUGAGUGGAAUUCCGAGUGUAGAGGUGAAAUUCGUAGAUAUUCUGAGGAACACCAGUGGCGAAGGCGGCUCACUGGCUCGAUACUGACGCUGAGGUGCGAAAGCGUGGGGAGCAAACAGG
rnacentral:rRNA from 1 species